GACAUACGGUAGCUCAGUUGGCAGAGCAUUGGACUAGUAUUCCAAAGGUCGUAGGUUCGAUUCCCACCGUGGUCA
rnacentral:tRNA from 1 species